rnacentral:misc_RNA from 1 species
GAGAAGCUCCGCAUCGAUCCGAACUCCGGCUUCACCAUAUUCUUCUCCGACGAAAAACCAUCCUCUUUCUUGCGCUGCUCUUGAAAAGUCCAUCCCUGAGUCGUGGGAGCUGUGGUGGAUGAAGGCUGAAAAGACGUCGGCGGCAGCUUUGACGAUUGAGUUUGAAAUGAGAAAUUAGACAGAUAUUUGUUUUCUUCCUUAAUGCUCUGCUGAUUAUACCCAGAAUUGCUCUUCCAAUUCAACGACUGAGACGGGAAACUCCCAGUGGUCGGCGACGGCAAAACAUGAGAAGCACUGAGAAGAACAGGGGAAUCAAGAAGCUCGG